rnacentral:tRNA from 9 species
GCCCUUGUAGCUCAGUCGGUAGAGUGCAUCCUUGGUAAGGAUGAGGUCACCAGUUCAAUCCUGGUCAAGGGCUCCA